AUUGAACGCUGGCGGCAGGCUUAACACAUGCAAGUCGAGCGAGCGGCGGACGGGUGAGUAAUGUCUGGGGAACUGCCUGAUAGAGGGGGAUAACUACUGGAAACGGUGGCUAAUACCGCAUACCAUCAGAUGAACCCAUAUGGGAUUAGCUAGUAGGUGGGGUAAUGGCUCACCUAGGCGACGAUCCCUAGCUGGUCUGAGAGGAUGACCAGCCACACUGGAACUGAGACACGGGCCAGACUCCUACGGGAGGCAGCAGUGGGGAAUAUUGCACAAUGGGCGCAAGCCUGAUGCAGCCAUGCCGCGUGUGUGAAGAAGGCCUUAGGGUUGUAAAGUACUUUCAGCGAGGAGGCGUUACCCGCAGAAGAAGCACCGGCUAACUCCGUGCCAGCAGCCGCGGUAAUAC
rnacentral:rRNA from 1 species